ensembl:lncRNA
CAUCACUCAUUACUUUGCUGCCUAUCAGCAAUUAGCAGUGGGAGGUAGAUGAUCCUGCUUCUAGAGGCCAGGAUCAAUCCAUCCAUCUGUGCUCCACUACCAGGGGCAAGUGCAGCCUCACGUUCACUGCAUGAUGGAUGCAUGGAACGGCGCUGCGUUACUGGUCGUGGGAGAUCUCAGCUGCCUCCUCCAGCGAGAGCAACCAAAGACGGGACAGUCACAGCUGGCUGGCCAGCCUAAGAGGGGUCUAGAGGGUCAGUUGA